UGCCGAGGGAAAAAUGACGCCAAAAACGAGCACACACACAUAUUCCAUUCACGCGGUUUGUGCAUAAAAUUGAGGACAAUUCUAAGACUCUUUUGAAUCUCAUCUGCGUUAUGGUUUUCAUUUUCUACUUUUCCUAGUCAUAUCAACAACGGCCUUUGCAGCUCUCAGUCCUUCACCCGCCGCCUCGUCUCUCCCUCCGAGAAGGUACCUCGACUGAAUUCUUGAGUGCAUGCUAAGUUCAGCCAAUGGAUACAAUAGUGAUGGCUUUUGAAAAAACUGUGUGAACUGCUUCAGAUUGUGUAACAUUGGCUUUUGAUACCCCCUCAGCACGAGCUGUUGUCUUUGGAGUCAACAUUGGAGGCCAUCUAUUUGUUGAGGGUCUUCUGUUUGUAGUGAUUCUUUUUCUAUUAUCCCGGAAAAGUUACAAGCCACCCAAAAGACCACUGACAAAGAAGGUUUGUGUUUUGCAUUAACACCAUCUCAGCCUACCACUUUUUAAUAUU